rnacentral:rRNA from 1 species
UAGGGAAUCUUCGGCAAUGGGGGGAACCCUGACCGAGCAACGCCGCGUGAGUGAAGAAGGUUUUCGGAUCGUAAAGCUCUGUUGUUAAGGAAGAACGAGUGUGAGAAUGGAAAGUUCAUGCUGUGACGGUACUUAACCAGAAAGGGACGGCUAACUACGUGCCAGCAGCCGCGGUAAUACGUAGGUCCCGAGCGUUGUCCGGAUUUAUUGGGCGUAAAGCGAGCGCAGGCGGUCAAUUAAGUCUGAUGUGAAAGCCCCCGGCUCAACCGGGGAGGGUCAUUGGAAACUGGUUGAAUUGAGUGCAGAAGAGGAGAGUGGAAUUCCAUGUGUAGCGGUGAAAUGCGUAGAUAUAUGGAGGAACACCAGUGGCGAAGGCGACUCUCUGGUCUGUAACUGACGCUGAGGCUCGAAAGCGUGGGUAGCAAACAGG